CCUACGGGUGGCAGCAGUGGGGAAUAUUGCACAAUGGGGGGAACCCUGAUGCAGCGACGCCGCGUGAGUGAAGACGUAUUUCGGUAUGUAAAGCUCUAUCUGCAGGGAAGAAAAUGACGGUACCUGACUAAGAAGCCCCGGCUAACUACGUGCAACCAGCCGAGGUAAUACGGAGGGGGCAAGCGUUAUCCGGAUUUACUGGGUGUAAAGGGGGCGUAGACGGCAGAGAAAGUCUGAAGUGAAAGCCCGCGGCCCAACUGCGGUACUGCGGUGGAAACUGCCCGGCUAGAGUGCUGGAGAGGUAGGCGGAAUGCCUAGUGUAGCGGUGAAAUGCAUAGAUAUUAGGAGGAACUC
rnacentral:rRNA from 1 species